UUUAUGCGAAUCAUGGUGCUAAACAUUUGGUGUUUGUCAUCUCAUAUAAACCUCAUCACUAUACCAUGACUUGGGUGCUGUAAUUACUCCCAUUAUGCAAGAGAGAAAACAGGGUGAGAGCGGCUCAAUAUUUGGUGCAGUCAUGCAGCUGGCACCUGCUUGACUCAAUACUAGUACUUGUGACAACUGAAUGCAGAGCCCACCCUCCUAAUUGCAGGAACAUGUGAAUAUCGGAGACCACAGCUGCUUUUGUUCUCCAAUAGCGUGGGCUCAACUUUGGUAGAGUUUGAAUAGAAUUUGACCAUUAUUGCUUCUCAGUGUUCUGACAGUAGCAUGGAUGGCCUCGGCCUGCAGUGAGCUGAACAUCACAGUGGGGAAUCAAGGAGGUGCGGAAUUUCCACCGAGAAAAGGUGCCUUUGAUCCAGGGUGAAGCCACUGACCUUAGGUCCUUUCCAGUGUUGGGUGUCUAUAAUGCUCAUGACUUGCUUUCCUGGCCUUGCCCCUUGGUUUCUGACCCCUGAACUCUGGCUUUCCCACUUGCAUCUCUCAGCCUGUGGUGUGUAUAUUGGUGUCCCCAAGGUCUGUGCGGUCCUGACCACAUUGCCAAGCUGCCUGCACGGGAUAUGUGAGUUCUGGAGAGAAGGAUUUCUGCGAGGGUAAUGUUUCUUUUCUCAUCCCAGGGAAUCAGGUAAUAAAUAACCCUGAAAGCGCACUUUUUGCUUGAGUCCUGGCUGUGAUGACUACAUGACCAGGGCUUGUUGUAGGUUGCUGAGAUCAUACAAAAGUGAUGAAUCUUUGCUUGGAAGCUGCCUGCCAUACAGAAACCUAGCAGCAUGCUGGAAGCACAGAUUUCCCUUUUCCUGGGAAAGGAUCUGGUUAUCCACCAAAAGACAUCUUCAUGUUGACAUAUGAGAAAAAACGAAGAAGUUGCUUUAUGUCAUACAGUAAAGUCUAGGACUUUGACAAAGUUCUAGAACUAGAAAUAUGAGACACCUCUGAGAUCAUCUGAAUGGUCCUUCUAUCCAUCCAGCCAUUCAACCAAUGAACUUCUCUUAAGGGUCUUUUGCGCUGUUGUCUCUACUAGGUGAUGGAGAUUCAAAGAUGAAAAUUCCCCAUUUCCUGUUUUGGAAACUUAACAAUGUAGCAGGGAGAGAAAUGUGACUAACAAUUACACUGACUUGAUAAGAACUUUAACAGAGACAUAUAGGUUCUAUGGGAACAAAGAAGAAAGCAGUUGACUUUGCACAGAAGGCAUCCUGCAUGGAGGUAAGUUUGGUUGUGAUUUCAUAUCACUAACCUUUGUGGGAUGAGUAAGAGUUUGUUAGGUGGCCUGGCAGAAGCAAGAGAGGCAGUUUAGGAUAAUGGCACAGUUACGUGGGAGACUAUGUGGACGGUGAGAGAAAAAGCCUUCUCCUCACAUGUAAGCUAAAAACAGAGGCAGAAAACAUAGAAACAAUGGCCAUCUCAGAAAAACAUUUGGGAUGUGGGCAUCUUUAGGAAACCUCCUAUGCAGAGACAUCCAUGGAAAUGGGGUCAAUCGAAUAACUGUCUUGAAACAACCAAAAACAUCCAAAGACCUAUCUACCUAACUUGCCCUAUCUUGCUGCACAUCAGUUUGAUCCUCCAAGAUGGUUGCUGGCAUCAAGAAGAAAAUGAAAAGUCACAAGCAGGGGAGGACCGGGAAGGAUAGCAUUUUCUCAAAUACAUCCUUCAGUGGAGGCGCCUUACAGGUGUGGCCGCAGCCAUCUAUACCUGAGUAACAGCAAGAGACACCACAGCCUGAGAGAGAAGGAGGAGACCGAGAGGCGAGCUGCAGCAAGCAGGGCUCGUGAGCCGCAGGUGCCCAUGCCAUCCAUUUGCAGUGCUAGUGACCCAUCCAAAGGUCCAAGUGCCUUUCGACUGAGCCCACCUUACAUACCGCAAAAGGCUUAUUUCAACGGGGUCCAAAGAUUGUCGUGAGGGAAAAUAGGCUCCAUCUGUUUAGGGUGGCAAUAGAAUAGAGGCCUCACUACCCACUCCAGACCUCAAGGAAACUGACAAACCUGUGUCUCUGCAUCCAAACUGUGGCACGGUGCCAAUGAAGCCAAAAUGAGGAGUUUACAGUUCCAGGAGGGGUCACUUGUCUCUCAUGAAGACAGAGUGACUGGAUUUCCUUUCUCCUCAGCAUCUAUCCCUGCCUAGACAGGCUUCCUUUUUGUUUUGUUUUUUUCCUUUUCCCCAAAACAUUUGCUUUAGGUCAGCCAGAGAAAGGAGAGUUUUGCUCAACUCAAGAUUUGGCAGAGAGGCAGAGACAACCAACGUGGAAUGAAUCUGGGAGUUCCACAAUGUGGGGUCUGUAGUGACCCGCCAAAGUUACUGGACUUUUUUUCCACACAAAGUCAGUGAGGACUCAAAGAGGAGAGAAUUGAGACUCAGAAAGAUUGGAUAACUUGAUCGAGGUCUCACGGGUUACAAGAGACAGAGCUAGGACUUGAACUCAACUCCAUGUGACCAAGAGAUUCCCUUAGUGAUGACAAGGAACUAAGCAAAAUGAAACAGAUUAAGUGGUAGAACAUGCGAAGGGAGAAGACUCCCAAGUGUGGAAUCAUCUCCCAGUAUUCGUCACCAGGAAAUAAUUUGCAAUUGGAAAAGACAGGCUGCUGGAAGAGACAGGGCUGCCCCGGCACAGCUCGUGUAAAUGUGCAACCUCUGGCGGCUUGAAUCUCCGCAGGAAUGUUUGCAGCACCAGGACGUCCUGUAGUUGGUGAGAAGUUCCAACAUGUCCACUCAGAAAUUAGAAACCUGACCACCCGACUCCUCAGCGUGUUUAGUGUGUUACGGUCUUUGAACCACAGUCUGAAUUGGAUACAUCUGUCUUCAAAAGAACUUAAAAUUCCAGCAUGAAAGUCCGGGAGGAAAACUGUCCUCGCAUUCAGAAGGCGAUGUCCCAAAGUGUGCGUUUUUCUGUCUGGUUAGGAUCGCUUCCUUGCUGUUCGGACACCCAGGCUGAUGCUUCUUCACCCCUCCACCCCUGCUCUAAAAGGAGCUGCUUCAUUGCCCAGGUUCUCUGUGAUCUUUAAGGCACAAACUCAUACUACGAUCAUAUUUUACAUGCAAUCUCCAGUGUGUUUGAGUGUAGCGGAGACAUAUCUUUCCUAAAGCUUUAAAAUAAAAUUUAAUGUCUUAGAAAGUUUCACUGUGUGAUUAUAUCUGU